GACGAACGCUGGCGGCGUGCUUAACACAUGCAAGUCGAACGGUGAAAGCGGAGCUUGCUCCGCUGGAUCAGUGGCGAACGGGUGAGUAACACGUGGGCAACCUGCCCCUCACUUCGGGAUAACUCCGGGAAACCGGGGCUAAUACCGGAUAUGACCUCCUUGGGCAUCCUUGGAGGUGGAAAGUUUUUCGGUGAGGGAUGGGCCCGCGGCCUAUCAGCUUGUUGGUGAGGUAGUGCUCACCAAGGCGACGACGGGUAGCCGGCCUGAGAGGGCGACCGGCCACACUGGGACUGAGACACGGCCCAGACUCCUACGGGAGGCAGCAGUGGGGAAUAUUGCGCAAUGGGCGAAAGCCUGACGCAGCAACGCCGCGUGCGGGAUGACGGCCUUCGGGUUGUAAACCGCUUUCAGCAGGGAAGAAGCCGCAAGGUGACGGUACCUGCAGAAGAAGCACCGGCUAACUACGUGCCAGCAGCCGCAGUAA
rnacentral:rRNA from 1 species